AAUAAGACUUGUGCUACUCACAGCACAUCUCCUGAA
rnacentral:tRNA from 1 species